rnacentral:rRNA from 1 species
UACCAGCACCCCGAGUGGUCGGGACGAUUAUUGGGCCUAAGCAUCCGUAGCCGGCCUUACAAGUCCUCCGUUAAAUCCAGCUGCUUAACAGAUGGGCUGCGGAGGAUACUAUAAGACUAGGAGGCAGGAGAGGCAAGCGGUACUCAGUGGGUAGGGGUAAAAUCCGUUGAUCCAUUGAAGACCACCAGUGGCGAAGGCGGCUUGCCAGAAUGCGCUCGACGGUGAGGGAUGAAAGCUGGGGGAGCAAACCGG